rnacentral:tRNA from 1 species
UGAGGUGUAGCUUAGUGGUAGAGUGCUUUUCUAGCAUGUGUAAGGCCCUAGGUUUGAUCCCUAGCACCAUAA